rnacentral:rRNA from 1 species
CCUACGGGAGGCAGCAGUGAGGAAUAUUGGUCAAUGGACGAGAGUCUGAACCAGCCAAGUAGCGUGAAGGAUGACUGCCCUAUGGGUUGUAAACUUCUUUUAUAAAGAAAUAAAACGAGGCACGUGUGCCUUUUUGCAUGUACUUUAUGAAUAAGGAUCGGCUAACUCCGUGCCAGCAGCCGCGGUAAUCCGGAGGAUCCGAGCGUUAUCCGGAUUUAUUGGGUUUAAAGGGAGCGUAGAUGGGUUGUUAAGUCAGUUGUGAAAGUUUGCGGCUCAACGGUAAAAUUGCAAGUGAUACUGGCAGUCGUGAGUACAGUUGAGGUAGGCGGAAUUCGUGGUGUAGCGGUGAAAUGCUUAGAUAUCACGAAGAACCCCGAUUGCGAAGGCAGCUUACUAAACUGUGACUGACAUUGAUGCUCGAAAGUGUGGGUAUCAAACAGGAUUAGAUACCCGGGUAGUC